rnacentral:rRNA from 1 species
UACGUAGGGUGCAAGCGUUGUCCGGAAUUAUUGGGCGUAAAGAGCUCGUAGGCGGUCUGUUGCGUCGGCUGUGAAAACCCGGGGCUCAACCCCGGGCCUGCAGCCGAUACGGGCAGACUAGAGUUCGGCAGGGGAGACUGGAAUUCCUGGUGUAGCGGUGAAAUGCGCAGAUAUCAGGAGGAACACCGGUGGCGAAGGCGGGUCUCUGGGCCGGUACUGACGCUGAUGCGCGAAGGCCAGGGGAGCAAACGGG